UACGAAGGGGGGCUAGCGUUGCUCGGAAUUACUGGGCGUAAAGGGCGCGUAGGCGGGUCGUUAAGUUAGAGGUGAAAGCCCAGGGCUCAACCCUGGAAUUGCCUUUGAUACUGGCGGCCUUGAGUAUGGCAGAGGUGUGUGGAACUCCGAGUGUAGAGGUGAAAUUCGUAGAUAUUCGGAAGAACACCAGUGGCGAAGGCGACACACUGGGCCAUUACUGACGCUGAGGCGCGAAAGCGUGGGGAGCAAACAGG
rnacentral:rRNA from 1 species